AGGUCUACCUGUUUAUCUGCAGCUCUACCUGUUCCCUCAAAUGCGGUCAGCCAUUAGCGCAGGAAACACGGGGCUGGCAACGCUGGCCCGGAUGAGAAGGAAAGUCCGGAGCUGGAACUGAAUCGGAGAUUAUAUAUUGCAUUGAACUGCUGCUGCUAAGUCAACAAAUUUCACAACACAUGGCGGUGAUAAUAAACCUGAUACUGAGAUGAGCAUACAAAUACUAUUCAGGAAACCUUGGAACAUAUUAUAGCCUCAUUAAUACAAUAAAUAUAGCCUCAUGAAUACAACAACAAAUGAGUUCAUGGAAAAACAAUUUUCCUGCCACUUAAGAGUUUAUGACAAGCAGGCUAGGAUUGUUCGGGAAAGAACUAUUGGUAUAGUUAGAUGUGCUAAAAGCUU